AUUGAACGCUGGCGGCAGGCCUAAUACAUGCAAGUCGAACGAGGGGCGGAGGGGAGAGUAAUGUCUGGGAAACUGCCUGGUGGGGGGGGUUACUUACUGGAAACGGUAGCUAAUACCGCAAACCUUCAGUUGUGCACAGCUGGGAGUCGCAUGUUGGUGGGGUAACGGCUCACCAAGGCGACGAUGCCUAGAUGGUCUGAGCGGGUGACGGGCCACACUGGAACUGAGACACGGUCCAGACUCCUACGGGAGGCAGCAGUGGGGAAUAUUGAGCAAUGGGCGGAAGCCUGAUGGAGCCAUGCCGCGUGAAUGAAGAAGGUCUUCGGGUUGUAAAGUACUGUCAGCGGGGAGGCGUUACCCGCACAAGAAGCACCGGCUAACUCCGUGCCAGCAGCCGCGGUAAUAC
rnacentral:rRNA from 1 species